ensembl:snRNA U6 U6 spliceosomal RNA
AUACUUAUUUCAGUAGCACAUAUACUAAAAUUGGAAUGAUGCAUGGCCCCUGCACAAGAAUGACAAAUACAUUUGUUAAGCUUUCCAUAUUUUA